GUCGGACGGGAUCCAUCGGAGAGCUUGCUCGAAGAUGGUGAGAGUGGCGCACCGUUUCGUAACGCGUGAGCAACCUACCUCUAUCAGGGGGAUAGCCUCUCGAAAGAGAGAUUAACACCGCAUAACAUCAACAGUUCGCAUGUUCAGUUGAUUAAAUAUUUAUAGGAUAGAGAUGGGCUCGCGUGACAUUAGCUAGUUGGUAGGGUAACGGCUUACCAAGGCGACGAUGUCUAGGGGCUCUGAGAGGAGAAUCCCCCACACUGGUACUGAGACACGGACCAGACUCCUACGGGAGGCAGCAGUAAGGAAUAUUGGUCAAUGGGCGGAAGCCUGAACCAGCCAUGCCGCGUGCAGGAUGACUGCCCUAUGGGUUGUAAACUGCUUUUGUCCAGGAAUAAACCUAAAUACGUGUAUUUAGCUGAAUGUACUGGAAGAAUAAGGAUCGGCUAACUCCGUGCCAGCAGCCGCGGUAAUACGGAGGAUCCGAGCGUUAUCCGGAUUUAUUGGGUUUAAAGGGUGCGUAGGCGGCCUAUUAAGUCAGGGGUGAAAUACGGUGGCUCAACCAUCGCAGUGCCUUUGAUACUGAUGGGCUUGAAUCCAUUUGAAGUGGGCGGAAUAAGACAAGUAGCGGUGAAAUGCAUAGAUAUGUCUUAGAACUCCGAUUGCGAAGGCAGCUCACUAAGCUGGUAUUGACGCUGAUGCACGAAAGCGUGGGGAUUCAACAGGAUUAGAUACCCUGGUAGUCCACGCCCUAAACGAUGAUAACUCCAUGUUGGGGAAAGACAGCCAGCGUCCCCCCCAAAGCGUUAAGUUUUUCACCUGGGGAAGACGCCCGCCAGGGGGGAAA
rnacentral:rRNA from 1 species